GAUGAACGCUGGCGGCGUGCCUAAUACAUGCAAGUCGAGCGAACGGACGAGAAGCUUGCGUCUCUGAUGUUAGCGGCGGACGGGUGAGUAACACGUGGAUAACCUACCUAUAAGACUGGGAUAACUUCGGGAAACCGGAGCUAAUACCGGAGAAUAUUUUGAACCGCAUGGUUCAAAAGUGAAAGACGGUCUUGCUGUCACUUAUAGAUGGAUCCGCGCUGCAUUAGCUAGUUGGUAAGGUAACGGCUUACCAAGGCAACGAUGCAUAGCCGACCUGAGAGGGUGAUCGCCCACACUGGAACUGAGACACGGUCCAGACUCCUACGGGAGGCAGCAGUAGGGAAUCUUCCGCAAUGGGCGAAAGCCUGACGGAGCAACGCCGCGUGAGUGAUGAAGGUCUUCGGAUCGUAAAACUCUGUUAUUAGGGAAGAACAUAUGUGUAAGUAACUGUGCACAUCUUGACGGUACCUAAUCAGAAAGCCACGGCUAACUACGUG
rnacentral:rRNA from 1 species